GGCCAGUUCUCUUCUUUCCGCCCUUAAACCCACGCAACGCAUCUCCGGUUGCGACGAACACCGAAACCCUAGCUUGUCCUCCUCCCUCACACUCACCCACUCUCUCUCUCUCUCUCUACUUCCUCCCCUUAAACCCACGCAACGCAUCUCCGGCCACGACGAGCACGGAAACCCUAGCACCCCCCCGGCUCCGCACGCCAAUGCCUCGCCCCCGUACCCUGGUAUCCACCUCCCGCUAGCCCCCCUUCGCAUUCCAGAAGGAAUACCCCAUCCAAAGAUGGCCGCGGACCCUGCCGCGGACUCCGUGGCUGCGGCGAUCUCCGCUGCGAUGGACUGGCGAUCUUCUCCCGACGCCCGUAACGCCGCCUUCGCCUAUCUCGAAUCGGUCAAAAGUGGAGAUGUCCGAGCGUUAGCGAGCACAUCUUUUCUAUUGGUCCGGAAGCACCAGGCUUCAGAGAUCCGACUACAUGGGUUUAAAAUGUUGCAGCACUUGGUGAGAUUGAGAUGGGAGGAACUCAGUGUUGCAGAACGAAAUGAAUUUGCUAACUUGACCAUCAAUUUGUUGUCAGAGGUUAUUGGUCCUCAUGAGGAGUGGGCUUUGAAGAGUCAAACAGCUGCAUUAGUAGCAGAGGUAGUUAGAAGAGAGGGGGUUACAUUGUUAAAUACAUUACUUCCCUCUAUUGUUUCUCUGUCUAACGCUGGCCCUGUUGAGGCUGAGCUAGGUUCUAUGAUUCUAAGGUGGCUUCCAGAGGAUAUCACUGUUCACAACGAGGAUUUAGAAGGUGAUAAACGACGAGCACUGUUGCGUGGCCUUACCGAGGCACUGCCACAAAUUCUACCUCUGUUAUAUUCUCUAGUUGAGAAACAUUUUGUAGCCGCUUUAAGCGAGCACACGAGGCAGCAAAUGGAGUUGGCUAAACAUCAUGUAGGGACAGUAACAGCUGUUCUAAAUGCCAUCAAUGCAUACGCUGAAUGGGCUCCUGUAACAGAUCUUGCCAAAUAUGGUUUAAUUCAUGGAUGUGGGUCCUUGCUUUCUUACAGUGAUUUUCGCCUCCUUGCUUGCGAGUUCUUUAAAAUAGUUUGUCACAGAAAACGACCUGCAGAUGUUGCAGUUUGCGAGUAUGAUGCAGCAAUGAGCAACAUUUUCCAGGUGUUGAUGAACAUCUCCCAAGAAUUUUUAACCAAAUCUAGGAUGCAGCCCAUGGCUAUUGAUGAAAGUGAAUACGAGUUUGGAGUUUGUAUUUGCGAGACAGUAGUUGCUCUAGGUUCUUCUAACAUGCAGUGCAUACUGGUUGAUGGAGCUAGAACUUCACACUUCCUACAACAAAUGCUGGAAUAUUACCAACAUUACAGGAUUGCACUCCAUUUCCAAUCUUUGUUGUUUUGGCUGGUGGCAUUGAGGGAACCAUCGAAAGCUAAGUCUGUUGCUCGUGUUUCUGGUGAUACCUCUCCUGCUGGAAAUUUUGGUUCUGUUGGUGUUAGUUCAACUGAAAAGGAGAAAAAAGGGGUGUCAUUAUUUAUUACCGAUGAAAUAUACAGUACACUAUUGGACGUUUCUUUCAAAAGAAUGCUUAAGAAAAGUGCGAAUUCAUCUUCAAGUCUGUUGGAACUAUGGAAUGAAGAGCUUGAGGGGAAGAGUGACUUCAGCAACUAUCGUACCAAAUUGCUGGAUCUCAUAAGAGUUAUUGCUUCUCAAAGGCCUGUUAUUGCUGCAGCAAACAUUGUACAGAGAAUAAAUGUUGUUUCUGGAGAUGCUAAUCAAACAACAAAAUCCCCCCAGGAUCUUGACGCUAUGGUAGGUGCCCAGCUGGGUCUUGAAACAGUUGUUAGUGCCAUAUUUGAUGGCUCGGGUGAUUAUGCAAAGACUGACCAUGAGGCAAAAUUCCAAAUUCACAGGACUUUUGAAGGCUUACUUCAGCAGCUUCUUUCUUUGAAGUGGACAGAACCUAGCCUCAUAGUUAUUCAUGGUCAUUAUUUGGAUUCUCUGGGUCUGUACUUGAGACAUUAUCCAGAUGUAGUUGCUAGUGUUGUGAACAAGCUUUUUGAACUAUUGACAUCUCUCCCGAUUACAAUUCAGCAACAGGGUCCAUCAAAUAAUUCCCGGCAAGCUAGGUUACAGAUUUGCUCAUCAUUCAUUCGCAUAUCAAGAGCUGCUGAUAAAGCACUUCUGCCUCAUAUGAAGAACAUUGCCGAUACCAUGGCUUACCUUCAAGGAGAGGGCCGCUUACUACGGGCUGAGCAUGAUCACCUAUGUGAAGCGUUUCUUAUUAUGGCCUCCUCGUCUGGGAUUCAACAGCAACAGGAAGUCCUGGCCUGGUUACUUGAACCUCUUAACAAAACAUGGACCCAAGUGGAAUGGCAAACUGCAUACUUGUCUGACCCAUCUGGCUUGACAGACAUGUUUGCUGACACCCAAUUUAUGUGGUCAAUUUAUCACACGGUUACGUUCUUUGAGAAGGCACUCAAACGGAGCGGUACCAAAAGGUCUACAACAGCUCCGCAAGCAGCCAUCACCACAACAACAGCAACUGGUUAUCUGCAUCCGAUGUCUUCACAUCUAUCAUGGAUUCUGCCCCCUCUCUUAAGGCUGCUGAGAUGUAUACAUGCACUUUGGGCUGAGCCAUUUGCUCAGUCGCUGACAGGAGAAAUCAAAGCGGCCAAAAGCAUGACUAUCUCGGAGCAGGCCAGUCUGCUGGGAGAGACAAGUAAACCUACCAAGGGCCAGGUUGCACCUGCUGAUGGAUUACUGGAUGUUCAAAGGGAGGGAGAGUCUAAGGAAAAUAACAUAAGAAACUGGUUACGUGGCGUCCGUGACAGUGGGUACAAUCUUAUAGGAUUAGCAGCUACUCUUGGUGAGGCAUUUUUCCGAUGCAUAGAUGGUUCCUCUGUCAUCCUUGCUCUUAUGGAGAAUGUGCAAGUUAUGGAGUUUCGUCAUUUGCGCCAACUCAUGCACCUUGCUGUUGUUCCUUUGGUUAAAUAUUGCCCUGCUGAACUAUGGCAGAUAUGGACAGCGAACCUUUUGCAGCCAAUAUUUGUUCAUUGUCAGCAAGCUCUUGAUUAUUCAUGGUCCAGUCUUCUACGCGAGGGACGAGCUAAGGUUCCUGAUAGCUUCGGUAAUAUUUCUGGGUCAGAACUUAAGGUUGAGGUGAUGGAAGAGAAGCUGUUACGAGACUUGACUCGUGAAGUUUGUUCUGUGCUUUGGGUUUUAGCAUUACCUGGUUUGAACAGUGGACUUCCAUCUUUGGAACAACUUGGACCUGUCAACCGGAUUGAUUCUUCUCUUAAAAGUCUGGAGUCAUUUGCUUCCAGCUCUCUUACUGGAUUUCUUAUGCUUAAUGUUGGCACUGCCCUUCCUGCUUUGAGAAUAACUGUUGAAGUGUUCAGUUGGACAGAUAGUGAAGCAGUGACUAAAGUAAUACCCUUUUGUGGUGCAUUGAUUCACCUUGCCGUUGCAACAAACCGGGCUGAGCUGAGGCAGUUUGUUGGGAACGAUCUAUUUUCUUCUAUAAUACAGGGCUUAUCUGUUGAGUUGAAUGCCGUUGUUAGUGCAGAGCUUAUUGGACUUUGUCGAGAAAUAUAUCUUUAUCUGUCAGACAAAGAUUCUGCACCUAAACAGUUAGGUCCUGGUACAAUACUACUACAACAAUACUCGUCAAAAGAUGAGGUGACCAUGAUGAUGUUACAAGUUGCAAGGGAGCACUACUGCAACUGGAGCCAUGAAGAGUUGACUUGCAGGAGCAGCAAUGGCGUCCCACAGUAGCUGCAGGUCUGAGACCAAAUAAAUCCUCCAGGUCUGACGUAUGGAUGGCUUCAAGGUGGUAGAGAAUGUGGGGUUAUAUUUGGACUUGAGUUAUAAUCAUGUGGAUAGCGUACAAGUCAGUGUCCGUGCCGGACACUUGGCACCCCAAGCCUCCUAUAUAGGGGGGGUGGGGGGGGGAUGCCGUAACUCAUGAAACGUGAUACCAACGACCACGCGAGGUGAUGCAGCAUGCCCCGGAUCCUAGGCAGCUACUGUUGCGGUAUGGCGUCGUCUAUGAUCUUGCAUGGUGUGGUUUUUUCGAACAUUGCGGUGGGAACAUGAGGUUCUUCUAUCCCUCUCAGACAUGAAGCAGGAAGAUUUGCUAGCUUUUGAUGAUUGUUUGAGCAAAACUGCUAGUCCAAAAGAGCAGAAGCAACAUAUGAGGAACUUACUUCUGCUAGCUACAGGGAACAAGUUAAAAGCUCUUGCCUCUCAAAAGACCACCAAUAUUAUCACAAAUGUUACAACUCGAAAUCGGGGCACUGUAGCACACAAUGGACCCAGUGCUGAAGAAGACGAUCACAUUGGAUUAGCUGGACUAUCAUAGGAAUGACCUGCUGAAGUUGUGGUUGUGUACAAAAUGACGAAACGAUGGUUUUAAACUUGGUAUUGUGGUAAAUAAUUGUGAAAAACCAGAUUCUUGCAGCAUUUUUUUUCUUGAAUAUGCAAGCAUGCGUAUCAUAUAUUAAAGGAGGGUGAAGAAUCCAUCCACAUCAAAAUGUUACAUAUAACAGUUAGGGCUGGGCAUUCGGUUCCCCCAACUGAUUGGUUCGGUGCUUCGGGUAAUUGAGAAAUUUGGUUUACUGAAA